UCCAGGGUAGCCUAGUGGACAUGGCCCCUGCCCGGUAAGCAGAAGGUUGUGGGUUCGAUUCCCGCCCCUGGAC
rnacentral:tRNA from 1 species